rnacentral:tRNA from 1 species
GGCCUCGUAGCUCAGUUGGCUAGAGCGUUGGCUGUACUUAAGCCUCACCCUUGCUGGUGUGGGUUCGAAGUCUACCGAGGCCG